rnacentral:rRNA from 1 species
UUUGUGGAGAGUUUGAUCCUGGCUCAGGACGAACGCUGGCGGCGUGCUUAACACAUGCAAGUCGAACGGAAAGGCCCCUUCGGGGGUGCUCGAGUGGCGAACGGGUGAGUAACACGUGGGUGAUCUGCCUCGCACUCUGGGAUAAGCCUGGGAAACUGGGUCUAAUACUGGAUAGGACCGCGCUUUAGUGUGUGUGGUGGAAAGUUUUUCGGUACGAGAUGAGCCCGCGGCCUAUCAGCUUGUUGGUGGGGUAAUGGCCUACCAAGGCGUCGACGGGUAGCCGGCCUGAGAGGGUGGACGGCCACAUUGGGACUGAGAUACGGCCCAGACUCCUACGGGAGGCAGCAGUGGGGAAUAUUGCACAAUGGGCGCAAGCCUGAUGCAGCGACGCCGCGUGAGGGAUGACGGCCUUCGGGUUGUAAACCUCUUUCGACAGGGACGAAGCUUUUGUGACGGUACCUGUAUAAGAAGCACCGGCUAACUACGUGCCAGCAGCCGCGGUAAUACGUAGGGUGCGAGCGUUGUCCGGAAUUACUGGGCGUAAAGAGCUCGUAGGUGGUUUGUCGCGUCGUCUGUGAAAUUCCGGGGCUUAACUCCGGGCGUGCAGGCGAUACGGGCAUAACUUGAGUGCUGUAGGGGAGACUGGAAUUCCUGGUGUAGCGGUGGAAUGCGCAGAUAUCAGGAGGAACACCGAUGGCGAAGGCAGGUCUCUGGGCAGUAACUGACGCUGAGGAGCGAAAGCAUGGGGAGCGAACAGGAUUAGAUACCCUGGUAGUCCAUGCCGUAAACGGUGGGCGCUAGGUGUGAGGGUCUUCCACGACUUUCGUGCCGUAGCUAACGCAUUAAGCGCCCCGCCUGGGGAGUACGGCCGCAAGGCUAAAACUCAAAGGAAUUGACGGGGGCCCGCACAAGCGGCGGAGCAUGUGGAUUAAUUCGAUGCAACGCGAAGAACCUUACCUGGGCUUGACAUAUACAAGAUCGGCGUAGAGAUACGUUUUCCCUUGUGGUUUGUAUACAGGUGGUGCAUGGUUGUCGUCAGCUCGUGUCGUGAGAUGUUGGGUUAAGUCCCGCAACGAGCGCAACCCUUGUCUUAUGUUGCCAGCACGUGAUGGUGGGGACUCAUGAGAGACUGCCGGGGUUAACUCGGAGGAAGGUGGGGAUGACGUCAAAUCAUCAUGCCCCUUAUGUCCAGGGCUUCACACAUGCUACAAUGGUCGGUACAACGCGUUGCGAGCCUGUGAGGGUGAGCGAAUCGCUGAAAGCCGGCCUCAGUUCGGAUUGGGGUCUGCAACUCGACCCCAUGAAGUCGGAGUCGCUAGUAAUCGCAGAUCAGCAACGCUGCGGUGAAUACGUUCCCGGGCCUUGUACACACCGCCCGUCACGUCAUGAAAGUUGGUAACACCCGAAGCCCAUGGCCCAACCAGUUUCUGGGGGGAGUGGUCGAAGGUGGGAUCGGCGAUUGGGACGAAGUCGUAACAAGGUAGCCGUACCGGAAGGUGCGGCUGGAUCACCUCCUUU